CCUACGGGAGGCUGCAGUGGGGAAUAUUGGACAAUGGGCGAAAGCCUGAUCCAGCCAUGCCGCGUGUGUGAAGAAGGCCUUCGGGUUGUAAGGCACUUUCAGUGGGGAAGAAAGCCUUGGGGCUAAUACCCUCGAGGAAGGACAUCACCCACAGAAGAAGCACCGGCUAACUCCGUGCCAGCAGCCGCGGUAAUACGGAGGGUGCGAGCGUUAAUCGGAAUUACUGGGCGUAAAGCGCGCGUAGGCGGUCUGAUAAGCCGGUUGUGAAAGCCCCGGGCUCAACCUGGGAACGGCAUCCGGAACUGUCAGGCUAGAGUGCAGGAGAGGAAGGUAGAAUUCCCGGUGUAGCGGUGAAAUGCGUAGAGAUCGGGAGGAAUACCAGUGGCGAAGGCGGCCUUCUGGACUGACACUGACGCUGAGGUGCGAAAGCGUGGGUAGCAAACAGGAUUAGAUACCCGAGUAGUC
rnacentral:rRNA from 1 species